GUAAGGAAUAUUGGACAAUGGGGGAAACCCUGAUCCAGCCAUGCCGCGUGAGUGAAGAAGGCCUUCGGGUUGUAAAGCUCUUUCAGAUGUGAAGAUGAUGACGGUAACAUCAGAAGAAGCUCCGGCUAACUUCGUGCCAGCAGCCGCGGUAAUACGAAGGGAGCGAGCGUUGUUCGGAAUCACUGGGCGUAAAGAGUGCGUAGGCGGUUAUACAAGUCAGGAGUGAAAUCCCAGGGCUCAACCCUGGAAUUGCUUUUGAAACUGUAUAGCUAGAGUCCCGGAGGGGUUAAUGGAAUUCCGAGUGUAGGGGUGAAAUUCGUAGGUAUUCGGAGGAACACCAGUGGCGAAGGCGAUUAACUGGACGGGCACUGACGCUGAGGCACGAAAGCGUGGGGAUCAAACAGGAUUAGAUACCCGGGUAGUCC
rnacentral:rRNA from 1 species